GCCGGGUGUGGUGGUGCACACCUGUAAUCCCAGCUACUCAAGAGGCUGAGGCAGGAGAAUUGCUUGAACUCAGGAGCUGGAGGUUGCAGUGAGCCGAGAUCGCACCACUGCAUUCCAGCCUGGGCAACAGAGUGAGACUCUGUCUCAA
rnacentral:SRP_RNA from 2 species